UACGGAAGGGGCAAGCGUUGUUCGGAAUCAUUGGGCGUAAAGGGCGCGUAGGUGGUUCUGUAUGUCUACCGUGAAAGCGUACGGCUCAACCGUAUUUUGUCGGUGGAAACUGCAGGACUUGAGGCUGGGAGGGGCUGGUGGAAUUCCCUGUGUAGCGGUGAAAUUCGUAGAUAUGGGGGAGGAACACCGGUGGCGAAGGCGACCAUCUGGACGGAUACUGACGCUGAGACGCGAAAGCGUGGGUAGCAAACAGG
rnacentral:rRNA from 1 species